rnacentral:lncRNA from 1 species
CAAUAUUUUGCUUGUCACCUUUUAGAUAUAUCACAAUGAAGGCACACUGUAUUAUUUUAGCGUUGUUUCUUUUUGCAGCAAUACUUGCAACAGGUAUGUUAAAUAAUAUACAUUACAGUAUAUGUAAAUAUGCAUUUCAUUGUAAAAGAAGAGUUUGUUGAUGGUUUUCUUCCUCAACAUUUUUUUUUCUCAAAAUUAAUUACUUUUUUAUCUUUUAAGAAACAUGGUGUUUGGUUUUUUUGACUGAUUAUUAUCAAACGUAUAUAAAUAUAUAAAUAUACCUGUUGCUGCUCACCAGGAAUCAAGAGUUCCAAAAGGCGAAUUCAAAAUGUAAAUUUUACGGACGCCAUCACGAGUUGGCUGACCGUAAUUGAAUUACCGUUUCAGGUUUCACUAUAUAUCCAAUCAAUAGUCUUCUGUGAAAUGAUCGAAUGCUGAAUCAGAAAAUUUACAAUUGAUUUGCAAAUAGCAUUAAACUAGAAUUAAACUUAAAAAUAGUAUGUAUUUUCUUAUAAAUUCCAUAAAAAUAACGCAACCAAAUGUCGACAGAAGUUCUAUAACAAUUGCAAAAACUAAAAAGCUAGAUAUGAAAAAAAUUCAGCUACAUAAUUUCGUGAUGCAAUUCUAAUAUUACUCAAGCUGACAAAAUAUAGUUCAGUACAUACUCGGCAUAUGAUCAUAUACAUUAAGAUAUCAAAUAACGUCAUAUCAAUGAGCUAAAUAGAGUAGUAACAUUGGGUACAAUUACAAAUGUGUAGUUCUGCACAGUUGUGCUUUUAUCUUUAUUGGACACACUUUAUCAAAAAUAGAACUAUUAAUUGCAUCGUGUAUUUAUCAUGUACAUCAUUUUUCGUUUUAAAAUAAGACAUCAAAUCCAAUCUUUAAGGUAACUCAUAUCCGCAUCCCUGUCACAAAGUUGGAGGAUAUUGCUCUUUUCGAAGAUGCAGCAAAGGAUAUCAAGUACACCCUAUAACAAGUAUUAGAGAUUGUACUUAUGGACAACAUUGCUGUCAACCUUGUAAGCAUUUAUUUUAAAAAUAUAUAAAAUAGUUAACCCUGAUUAUUGAAUUAAAAUGUUCGAAGAACAAACUUAGUAGAAUGUCUAGUUCUCUUAUACUUAAAUAUAUGCAAUAAUUCAUUUCGAACUUUGUCAGUUAAAAAUUUAAGACCUUUGUUGACAUGCACGAAGCUUAUACAAAUACUAAAAUUGGUUUAUUACUUUGUGAUUAAAAAAACUCGACUUGAUUUUCAAUACAACAUAGAAACUAUGUGUUUGAAAGGCAAAAACUGAACUUUUUCCAUGCGUUGAGAGAGAAUAUUCAGUCUAAAAUGAAUAAUUCGUACUUUUUAUUUAGAUUCCAUUCUUUUUCAGAUAUUGAAAGAUACUAGAAUGGACACUAAGCUUGCUUUCUUCCAAAACAGUAAACUGAUAUCUUGAAGUAAAUAAAAAUACGAUAGAUUAUAGAACUAACUCUUGAUGCCAUCAACUUCUUUAUCAUCUCAUUCAAUAUUUUUACUUUUUAUUUCAUUAAAU